AUAUCAAUAAGCGGAGGAAAAGAAACCAACAGGGAUUGCCCCAGUAACGGCGAGUGAAGCGGCAACAGCUCAAAUUUGAAAUCUGGUCCCCAGGGCCCGAGUUGUAAUUUGCAGAGGAUGCUUUUGGCGAGGCGCCUUCCGAGUUCCCUGGAACGGGACGCCAUAGAGGGUGAGAGCCCCGUCUGGUUGGAUGCCGAGCCUCUGUAAAGCUCCUUCGACGAGUCGAGUAGUUUGGGAAUGCUGCUCUAAAUGGGAGGUAUAUGUCUUCUAAAGCUAAAUACCGGCCAGAGACCGAUAGCGCACAAGUAGAGUGAUCGAAAGAUGAAAAGCACUUUGAAAAGAGGGUUAAAUAGUACGUGAAAUUGUUGAAAGGGAAGCGCUUAUGACCAGACUUGGGCCCGGUGAAUCAUCCAGCGUUCUCGCUGGUGCACUUUGCCGGGCUCAGGCCAGCAUCAGUUUGCCCCGGGGGAUAAAGGCUUUGGGAAUGUGGCUCCCUCGGGAGUGUUAUAGCCCAUUGCACAAUACCCUGGGGCGGACUGAGGUUCGCGCAUCUGCAAGGAUGCUGGCGUAAUGGUCAUCAGCGACCCGUCUUGAAACACGGACC
rnacentral:rRNA from 1 species